CCUACGGGAGGCAGCAGUGAGGAAUAUUGGUCAAUGGACGAGAGUCUGAACCAGCCAAGUAGCGUGAAGGAUGACUGCCCUAUGGGUUGUCAACUUCUUUUAUAUGGGAAUAAAAUGUUCCACGUGUGGGGUUUUGUAUGUACCAUAUGAAUAAGGAUCGGCUAACUCCGUGCCAGCAGCCGCGGUAAUACGGAGGAUCCGAGCGUUAUCCGGAUUUAUUGGGUUUAAAGGGAGCGUAGGUGGAUUGUUAAGUCAGUUGUGAAAGUUUGCGGCUCAACCGUAAAAUUGCAGUUGAAACUGGCAGUCUGGAGUACAGUAGAGGUGGGCGGAAUUCGUGGUGUAGCGGUGAAAGGCUUAGAUAUCACGAAGAACUCCGAUUGCGAAGGCAGCAUACCGGCGCCCAACUGACGCUGAAGCACGAAAGCGUGGGUAUCGAACAGGAUUAGAUACCCCUGUAGUC
rnacentral:rRNA from 1 species